rnacentral:rRNA from 1 species
UGGGGAAUUUUGGACAAUGGGCGAAAGCCUGAUCCAGCAAUGCCGCGUGUGUGAAGAAGGCCUUCGGGUUGUAAAGCACUUUUGUCCGGAAAGAAAUCCUUGGCUCUAAUACAGUCGGGGGAUGACGGUACCGGAAGAAUAAGCACCGGCUAACUACGUGCCAGCAGCCGCGGUAAUACGUAGGGUGCAAGCGUUAAUCGGAAUUACUGGGCGUAAAGCGUGCGCAGGCGGUUUGCUAAGACCGAUGUGAAAUCCCCGGGCUCAACCUGGGAACUGCAUUGGUGACUGGCAGGCUAGAGUAUGGCAGAGGGGGGUAGAAUUCCACGUGUAGCAGUGAAAUGCGUUGAGAUGUGGAGGAAUACCGAUGGCGAAGGCAGCCCCCGUGGGCCAAUACUGACGCUCAUGCACGAAAGCGUGGGGAGCAAACAGGAUUAGAUACCCUGGUAGUCCACGCCCUAAACGAUGUCAACUAGUUGUUGGGGAUUCAUUUCCUUAGUAACGUAGCUAACGCGUGAAGUUGACCGCCUGGGGAGUACGGUCGCAAGAUUAAAACUUAAAUGAAUUGACGGGGUCAUAGCUGUUUCCU